rnacentral:rRNA from 1 species
UGAACGCUGGCGGCGUGCUUAACACAUGCAAGUCGAACGAUGAAGCCCAGCUUGCUGGGUGGAUUAGUGGCGAACGGGUGAGUAACACGUGAGUAACCUGCCCUUAACUCUGGGAUAAGCCUGGGAAACUGGGUCUAAUACCGGAUAGGAGCGCCUACCGCAUGGUGGGUGUUGGAAAGAUUUAUCGGUUUUGGAUGGACUCGCGGCCUAUCAGCUUGUUGGUGAGGUAAUGGCUCACCAAGGCGACGACGGGUAGCCGGCCUGAGAGGGUGACCGGCCACACUGGGACUGAGACACGGCCCAGACUCCUACGGGAGGCAGCAGUGGGGAAUAUUGCACAAUGGGCGCAAGCCUGAUGCAGCGACGCCGCGUGAGGGAUGACGGCCUUCGGGUUGUAAACCUCUUUCAGUAGGGAAGAAGCGAAAGUGACGGUACCUGCAGAAGAAGCACCGGCUAACUACGUG